rnacentral:tRNA from 1 species
GGGCACUUGGCACAGUGGUAGCGCGCACGCUUCGCAUGUUGUGUUUGCGUGAGGUCUGGAGUUCGAUCCUCCAAGUGUCCA